CCCUUAGAUGUCCUGGGCCGCACGCGCGUUGCACUGAUGCAUUCAACGAGCUUAUAACCUUGGCCGAGAGGCCUGGGCAAUCUUGUUAACGUGCAUCGUGAUAGGGAUAGAUUAUUGAAAUUAUUAAUCUUGAACGAGGAAUUCCUAGUAAACGCAGAUCAUCAAUCUGCAUUGAUUACGUCCCUGCCCUUUGUACACACCGCCCGUCGCACCUACCGAUUGGAUGGUCCGGUGAAGCCUCGGGAUUGUGGUUCUUGCCGCUUUAUUGUAGCGUGACCGCGAGAACUUGUCUAAACCUUAUCAUCUAGAGGAAGGUGAAGUCGUAACA
rnacentral:rRNA from 1 species